UAUGUUUAUUAAUGGAAAAUGAAAUUUCCCUGUCCAUUACCAUUCGAUUGCUUGGUAAGUUCCUAUUAAAUGUGGCCAUGAACGCGUUGUCUGGUUCACAACAGCCAUUAUAAAUACCUCUUCUCAUCUAUCUUGAGCAUUUGAAGUUGUAUCCAAAGACACAAUUAGUUAACCCUAGCAAAAUUUGGUUUUGAACUUUUGAUUUAAUUUGCCAAAAGUCCUGUGUAACAUCAUGAGCUCCAGCAGCAUCAACAUUCAACAGGUUCUUCUUCCCACUAGGCCUCCACCUAAUAAUGGAAGUAGCUCAACUUCUUCAAGCUCCGGUGGUAAGAAGGGUCCAACUACAAAGGGAAUUUUUUAUCCCAAGAACAGAUGAUCUCGUAAAAGCAGGUAUACGCAUAUUGAAGGGACCAAUAUUUGAAGCAUAUAUAUACGAAUGGGAAUGGGAAUGGAAUUGAAGCAUGUUGUUAACUAAUUUACCAUGAUCUAUUUAGGUUGUUAUUUAAUUUAUUUGUUUGUUGGUAUGUUACCACUAGAUAGAGUUCCCGUGUAUUUCUUCCAAUAAUGGGAGAUUAAUUAGUAAUAUAAAGACCAAAAUGUUUUUUGUUUCUUAACAAGAAUUUCUAUUUAUUAGCCAGUACUCUGUGGUCGUAUCUAAUAUCCAUAUCAAAGGCUAUGAUCAAUUUCACGGGUCAAUAAUUUUGCAUCCU